rnacentral:rRNA from 1 species
CCUACGGUGGUCUGCAGUGGGGAAUAUUGCACAAUGGGGGAAACCCUGCUGCAGCGACGCCGCGUGAAUGAAGCAGUAUUUCGGUAUGUAAACUUCUAUCAGCAUGGAAGAAAAUGACGGUACCUGACUAAGAAACCCCGGCUAACUACGUGCCAGCAGCCGCGGUAAUACGUAGGUGGCAAGCUGUCGCCGGAUUUACUGGGUGUAAAGGGGGCGUAGGCGGCGAUGCAAGUCAGAAGUGAAAGCCCGGGGCUCAACUCCGGGACUGCUUUUGAAACUGUGUUGCUAGAUUGCAGGAGAGGUAAGUGGAAUCCCUGGUGUAGCGGUGAAAUGCGUAGAUAUUAGGAGGAACACCAGUGGCGAAGGCGGCUUACUGGACUGUAAAUGACGCUGAGGUUCGAAAGCGUGGGGAGCAAACAGGAUUAGAUACCCCAGUAGUC